UGCUCGAGUGGCGAACGGGUGAGUAACACGUGAGUAACCUGCCCUUGACUUUGGGAUAACUUCAGGAAACUGGGGCUAAUACCGGAUAGGAGCUCCCGCUGCAUGGUGGGGGUUGGAAAGUUUCGGCGGUUGGGGAUGGACUCGCGGCUUAUCAGCUUGUUGGUGGGGUAGUGGCUUACCAAGGCUUUGACGGGUAGCCGGCCUGAGAGGGUGACCGGCCACAUUGGGACUGAGAUACGGCCCAG
rnacentral:rRNA from 1 species